UGAUCCUGGCUCAGGACGAACGCUGGCGGCGUGCCUAAUACAUGCAAGUCGAGCGGAAUGAUGAAGAAGCUUGCUUCUUCUGAUUUUAGCGGCGGACGGGUGAGUAACACGUGGGCAACCUACCUUGUAGAUUGGGAUAACUCCGGGAAACCGGGGCUAAUACCGAAUAAUCCAUUUUGCUUCAUGGCGAAAUGUUGAAAGGCGGCUUCGGCUGUCACUACGAGAUGGGCCCGCGGCGUAUUAGCUAGUUGGUAGGGUAAUGGCCUACCAAGGCGACGAUACGUAGCCGACCUGAGAGGGUGAUCGGCCACACUGGGACUGAGACACGGCCCAGACUCCUACGGGAGGCAGCAGUAGGGAAUCUUCCACAAUGGACGAAAGUCUGAUGGAGCAACGCCGCGUGAGUGAAGAAGGUUUUCGGAUCGUAAAACUCUGUUGUAAGGGAAGAACACGUACGAGAGUAACUGCUCGUACCUUGACGGUACCUUAUUAGAAAGCCACGGCUAACUACGUGCCAGCAGCCGCGGUAAUACGUAGGUGGCAAGCGUUGUCCGGAAUUAUUGGGCGUAAAGCGCGCGCAGGCGGNUCUUUAAGUCUGGC
rnacentral:rRNA from 1 species